rnacentral:lncRNA from 1 species
UGCUAUUUGUCCCUCUCCAGGUGUCCAGUUUUAACCUGGUUUCCAAUGAAUGCUGACAGUUGUCCUCAGAUUAAAUCCGCAAAUUCUUUUUCUGUCCCAUGACGUAUUUAUUUGGGCUUAAAGGCUUGAACCAGUUUGAGUGAUCCUGAGCUUUUAUACAAUCUUCUCACCUAUGUUGGGCCUCAGUUUCUUGUUGACCUUGAGUAUUCUACCAUUUGCUUUUUGAAGAUCAUCUUUUCUUUCAAGAUGAGAGGUGUCAUAUUUUCCAUCUUACCCAAGGGAUGCGACUAUAUGCCUUUCCUCCUUUGGGUUCCAAAUAGAGCUAAAACCACAUGUGCCAGCUUCUUUCUUUUGAGAGGAAUUCUUUCUAUGAGUGGGGGGCAUGAGAAUGGGCCCCAUUGAUGGAGAGACUAGAUGAAUUCCAUGUUUCUAGGCAACUCCAGGAGUCGGCAGACCUCCACGCUGCUGUCCUGCCUGUUCCAUCAGCACCACCCACUUCUCUUUAGUGACCUGGCAAGGGUUCUUAAAACACGGCCGCCUUCGACGUCGGGUGAGAGCCUCUGCACCAUCUCUCUGGAGUCUGGAGGCUGAAUGUGAGGCCUACUUCAGUAUGUUGAGACCCAGUUGACACCUGCACAACAGCACCAUGAGUGUGGCUUUCAUCUUUGCGGCUGCUUCCCCCAGAGUAAGUAAGAGGGAGAACCAGGUGCACAGCAAGCAUUUUGUCAAGGACGAUGGGGUGGGAAGAACGUCAACUGUGUGGCCUCUGGAGAGUCCCUUUGCUUUCUGAGCCUCAAUUGGCACAUCUGCAAAGUGGAGCUAAUGACUCCUGCCCUGACUCCCUCCUGGGCUUGUUGACAAAACUCAGAUCGGAGGUGUUGUUCUUCCAGCAUUUUGGAAGCUUUUGAAGUGCUUGACAAGUGUAGAGAAUCCAUCUAAUUAAGGAAGAGGAUAAACAAAAGCCACCACAUGAAUGAGGUUUCUGGAAUGGGAUGCAGUCCAAUCCACAGGGAAACAGCCCCUGGAUGCCUCAUCCUUUGCCAUCCCUAAUGAGGAAACAGCCCAAUCCUUAGAUAGCUAGAGUCAUUAAUCUGUGGGUUAAAAAGUUAAUGCUUAGCCAAGCUUUCUCCAUCCUUUUUGGCAUGUGGCGUAUAUUCAAUAUGGCUCCAUGGAGCCAACCAGGAGCCCCUGCUUGAUGGAAUGGUCUCCUCUGUCAGGCUGGAAAAGACAGACACCGUAACUGUUUGACCAACAAAUGUAUAGAAAAUAGUGUCUGUUUUCCUGGCAGCACAGGGAGGAAUGAGGUGUGGUUGACUGUGGAUCUGGAAGCCUGUGGAUCAUCUCAGCUUCAUCCCUGACCUGCUGUGUGACCUUCAUAGGGCACUUCACCAUUCUGGGCCCGGGUUCUUUGGAUCUGAAAAUCAAGGCCUUAAGGGAAGAGGUCCCCAAGGCCUUUUCCAGCUGUAAAACUCAAUGAAACAUUGAAAAGUAAGCAGAUAUGAUGAUCUUAGUUUAAAAACCUAGAAUUGUACAUCUGGAAGGGAACUUACUUGGUCAUGAUUUUAAAAAAAAAUAUGCAUUGUAUUUGUUUUCUAAAUGCUUAAAAACAUGAUUGACUAUAAGAAAGAAAAUCCCCAAACCCUUAAGGAAAUGUUGCAUUUUAUCGUGUGUCCUUUUUUCCAUUGAGGAAACAUUCGUGAUCUGUUUAGGGGAGAGCAGCCUCUGAAUCAUUACCAAGACUCUGCACCAAAGGCGAAAAUUUUCUCCUGCUGGAGAAUGCCUGGAAACAGAUGCUGCUGCUAUGCAAAUGGCUCCCAGUGUACAAACGGGUAAAGGCAGGGCAGGCUGCAGCCAGGGGCUACACUCCAUGAAUAAUAACCAUGUGGUGCUGACGGUGACAGCAAAGGCUUCCUUGUGCCCGGUGCUUACAUUAUACCCAGGCACUGUUCCAGGCGCUUCACACGCCUUAUCUCCAGAUCCCACAGUAGCUCCCACCGUGCAACAAUCCACAUAGCACUAGCCUGAUUCUUUCUCUCUUCUCAUUGGGCAGGGGAUAUGGAUUGGGGGACCAGGGAAGGGAAAAAUGAUUCAUGUUCUAAGGCUGGAGAGGACAGACAAAAUGAUCAUUAUCCUUCUUUUGGAGAUCAGGAAAUUGAGGCUCAGAGAGGUUAAUUGGCUUUCUAGGUCUCCUGCACACCAGCAGCAAAGCUGAUGUUAGAACCCAAGACUCUGGCUCCAAAACCCCCUUGACUAUAUCUUCAGCCUGGCCAUAAACAGGCGAAAAUUCAAAUGGCCUCUCUGACGUCGACACUUUUAUUCCCAGGACCGUAGAAAUGGAGAGCUGUGAAGUCAAGAGCUUAGCCUUGAUUACCUGGUCUGGCAGGUGAAAGCCUGUUUGUAUUUCACACAUAGAUUGAAUUUCUUGAAUCAGACCUGGCAAACACUCUCAUAUAGUGGACUCUCUGAUUUAAGGUAAAAAGCUGUGAUUAAAUAUAACCAUCCUUGUGAAUCACAACAGAAAUACAGUGUGCAGGUCGAUCUCUCCUGCUGUGCAUCCCUUGGGGCUUUAACUCUAACAGGUAAUACAUUUGCAUUUAUUUGCAUACAGGCUUAAUGUUUUGAAACAGUGCAUCACUUCAGGGGUGGAUUGCCUCAUUCGUGAGGACUUUGGUGGUGCAAAUAAAGCCAAGCCUUCCAUUCUGAGGAGGCAAUAAAAGCCGAGAAAAGAGAGCACGGGACCAGGACCUUAAGUUCAGCCCUUACCUUGGACACAGCCUCUCUAGAGGUGGAAGGUGCCGUCUUCACAAGUUGCACAAGUUGGUCCCCCUGCCAGGGAUGCGCUCACUAGAUCUGCUCUCGUGACGGACAUUCACGGGAUGGGGAAGGGAUGACCUGGCCUGAGGUGGGCGUAAUCCCCCACCCAUGUCACGUUAGCCUGAUUGCCUUCUUUUCUUCAAGGGGCGUUGACCUGGGUGAUGAGGGAAGGCAAGACUGAUUCACUUCUACAGCCUCUGGGGCCAGGCUCAAGGGGAUGGAUGAAGGAGACAGGACUUCAUCCAGAAUGAGCUCCCAGCUGAGAGGCGAUGAGGUGCAGGUGCCCAGCUAGGGGAGGAAAGAGCGGGGCUUGAAAGUUUGGGAAGAGGUUGCUGAGUUCACAAAUUUUUUUCUGGGAGCGUAAUUAUCAGAGAGUAAUGACUCGCUUUGAACUAUGAGAAUGGGGCUGGAUUCCUCUAUCAGGUAUAAAGCUCCAUUCAAAGACUCGAUUGCCAUGUAAUCCGAAAAGCCGAGGUAUAAAAUUUGCUUUAAUAAAAACGAUCAAAUUGAUUCCAAAGCAAUCAUGCCUGAUACUGGGGGGCCAGGCCUCCUAAGUACUUCACAGGAGCAUCUCAUUUAAUACUUUUGUUUGUUUGUUUUGAGGAAGCCCUGAGAUAACUGCUGCCAAUCCUCCUCUUUUUGCUGAGGAAGACUGGCCCUGAGCUAACAUCCAUGCCCAUCUUCCUCUACUUUAUAUGUGGGAUGCCUACCACAACAUGGCGUGCUAAGCGGUGCCAUGUCUGCACCCAGGAUCUGAACUGGCGAACCCCUGGCCGCCGAAGCGGAAAGUGCACGCUUAACCGCUGCUCCACCAGGCUGGCCCCUCAUUUAAUUCUUACCACACCGCUGUGAAGCCCAGAUUAUUACACCCAUUUAAUAGGUGAGAAAAUUAAGGCUCAGAGGCUAAAGUAACUUGCCUGAGGUCACACAGAUGAGUAAGUAGGGAGGUCAGGUUUUAAACUCAGGUCUGUUUGGUUCCGAAACUUAAGCUCUUUACCACUGUAAUAAACCAUUUAAAAAAG